rnacentral:piRNA from 1 species
UGAUCAAACCCUGCCCUCUGUUCAGGUCUC